rnacentral:rRNA from 1 species
ACGGGAGGCAGCAGUGAGGAAUAUUGGUCAAUGGGCGGAAGCCUGAACCAGCCAAGUAGCGUGCAGGAUGACGGCCCUAUGGGUUGUAAACUGCUUUUGUCAGGGAAUAAAAAGGAUUACGUGUAAUCCAUUGCAUGUACCUGAAGAAUAAGGACCGGCUAAUUCCGUGCCAGCAGCCGCGGUAAUACGGAAGGUCCGGGCGUUAUCCGGAUUUAUUGGGUUUAAAGGGUGCGCAGGCGGCCCGUUAAGUCAGCGGUGAAAUGUCGGGGCUCAACCCGGGCACUGCCGUUGAAACUGGGGGGCUUGAGUACGGAUGAGGUCGGCGGAAUGUGACGUGUAGCGGUGAAAUGCAUAGAUAUGUCACAGAACACCGAUUGCGAAGGCAGCCGGCCAAUCCGCAACUGACGCUCAUGCACGAAAGCGUGGGGAUCGAACAGGAUUAGAUACCCUGGUA